rnacentral:rRNA from 1 species
AUUGAACGCUGGCGGCAUGCCUUACACAUGCAAGUCGAACGGUAACAGGUUAAGCUGACGAGUGGCGAACGGGUGAGUAAUAUAUCGGAACGUGCCCAGUCGUGGGGGAUAACUGCUCGAAAGAGCAGCUAAUACCGCAUACGACCUGAGGGUGAAAGCGGGGGAUCGCAAGACCCCGCGCGAUUGGAGCGGCCGAUAUCAGAUUAGGUAGUUGGUGGGGUAAAGGCCCACCAAGCCAACGAUCUGUAGCUGGUCUGAGAGGACGACCAGCCACACUGGGACUGAGACACGGCCCAGACUCCUACGGGAGGCAGCAGUGGGGAAUUUUGGACAAUGGACGCAAGUCUGAUCCAGCCAUGCCGCGUGCGGGAAGAAGGCCUUCGGGUUGUAAACCGCUUUUGUCAGGGAAGAAAAGGUUCUGGCUAAUACCUGGGACUCAUGACGGUACCUGAAGAAUAAGCACCGGCUAACUACGUGCCAGCAGCCGCAGUAACAC